rnacentral:rRNA from 1 species
AUUGAACGCUGGCGGCAGGCCUAACACAUGCAAGUCGAACGGUAACAGGAAGAAGCUUGCUUCUUUGCUGACGAGUGGCGGACGGGUGAGUAAUGUCUGGGAAACUGCCUGAUGGAGGGGGAUAACUACUGGAAACGGUAGCUAAUACCGCAUAAUGUCGCAAGACCAAAGAGGGGGACCUUCGGGCCUCUUGCCAUCGGAUGUGCCCAGAUGGGAUUAGCUAGUAGGUGGGGUAACGGCUCACCUAGGCGACGAUCCCUAGCUGGUCUGAGAGGAUGACCAGCCACACUGGAACUGAGACACGGUCCAGACUCCUACGGGAGGCAGCAGCGGGGAAUAUUGCACAAUGGGCGCAAGCCUGAUGCAGCUAUGCCGCGUGUAUGAAGAAGGCCUUCGGGUUGUAAAGUACUUUCAGCGGGGAGGAAGGGAGUAAAGUUAAUACCUUUGCUCAUUGACGUUACCCGCAGAAGAAGCACCGGCUAACUCCGUG